rnacentral:rRNA from 1 species
CACACGACUCUCGGCAACGGAUAUCUCGGCUCUCGCAUCGAUGAAGAACGUAGCGAAAUGCGAUACCCGGUGUGAAUUGCAGAAUCCCGCGAACCAUCGAGUCUUUGAACGCAAGUUGCGCCCGAGGCCACUCGGCCGAGGGCACGCCUGCCUGGGCGUCACGC